CUAGGGUGAAGGAAAAACAAGUUCAACUAGGCGGUAGUGCCCAAUUGAUCAGGUUGAUCCAAAUAAGGUGAACUCAAUUGGUUAAAAUUAGCUAUGAUUUAGAUAACUCAAUAGAGAUCAAUGGUGACAAAAUUCUAAAGAUACCGAUAAGGAUCGAGGUGGUCACUAUGCUGCCCAAGUACCAUGAUGGCUCAGGACCUCCUCAUUAGGGUCAACUUGAAUCCAUAGCAAAAUGAGAUUGGACUUUAAACUGAGAUCACUAGGCCAGCUUAGAGAGAGAAAGAAAAUAAGAGAGAGAUGAAUCCUCUCUCUCUCUCUCUCUCUUCUUUUCUCCUACUUAUUUUCUUUCUUUUGAAAACAAAAAAAAAAAAAAAGGAAAGGAGGGAGGAGGUGGACAAUGGCUGUGUUCAUGGUGGCCAACAUUGGAGGGCAGGCAACAUGUUGCGGUGUUAGGUGGUAGAGAGCAGCCGGCAGCGAUGAUCAACUGGUGAUUACAAAGGAAAAAGACCAAAAAAAUUGGGAUUUUUCUUGGCUUCAAUGGAUUCAUUUCCCAACAUAAUCGCCAGCGACCGGAUCUCUGGGCCGAGAGCCUUGGCGAUGAAUACCAGCGGAGGUGGAUGCGAAAUAGAGAACUUUCUUGGGCCAUUUUCGACCAAUUUACCGGUAGAAUCCGAUCAAAAACUAUACAAUGGAGAAAGGAAAAGGCCGAAGGAGGAGGAUCAUGGCUUACCUUGGGCUCCGAUGGCGUCUACAGCUCAAUAUUCUAGUGGGCAUAAGAAUGGGAGGCCAUGAACUUUAAUGGAAGAAAGAGGAAGAAAAAGAGACGAAGGGGUGCAUUGCUCAGUGAUGGAGGAUCACAGAAGGGAAGGGAGGCCUUUAUACAGAAUAGAGGCUAGGGAUUCCUAGCCUCCAGCGGAGUCCAAGGAGGAGGAGGGCUCUUCCGC
rnacentral:lncRNA from 1 species